GCACUUAGAAUUGCUUUACCAAAUGUCUGUUUGGUUAUUUGACAUCACGUUUACUCUGAAUGUUGAAUGAUUCUUCUUUGACUUGGCAUUAACUUCUGUAUGAAAACAUGAAGGAGCAACAAAGGAAGACAUUGAACGACUGCCCAAAUACAAAUUCCAGAGGAUUGGUGACUUUGAGAAACAAAAUGGGGAGAUUCAAGAAUCUUUUGGAGGAAUAAUUACAAAAUGUGAUACUGAUUCACCAAUUGAACAUGUUUUUUCCCCAGAAAAUGCUGAAUGUUGCAUUUGCCUUUGUCCCUAUGAAGAUAGAAGACGGAACUGAACUGCAUGAAUUCCCUUGACGCCAUCAUUUUCACUGCUCCUACACAGACAAGUGGUUGUAUAUCAAUGCUACAUGUCCUCUCUGCAAGUUCAAUAUACUGAAGAAUGGCAAUCAAAGUCGUAGCGAGGAAGUGUAGGAAAAAAGCUAGUUCUUCAAUGGAUUGAUAACUUUGGAUCUUGUUAUGUGUAUUUCGUGAUUCUGCCAAUACGGUAAUCUUUUUCUUCUCAAGAUCUGCUCCGGCUGAAGUGUUGUUUACGAGUA